CACGUAGUUAGCCGGUGCUUCUUUACCCAUUACCGUCACUCACGCUUCGUCACAGGCGAAAGCGGUUUACAACCCGAAGGCCGUCAUCCCACACGCGGCGUUGCUGCAUCAGGCUUCCGCCCAUUGUGCAAUAUUCCCCACUGCUGCCUCCCGUAGGAGUCUGGGCCGUAUCUCAGUCCCAAUGUGGCCGGUCACCCUCUCAGGCCGGCUACCCGUCAAAGCCUUGGUAAGCCACUACCCCACCAACAAGCUGAUAAGCCGCGAGUCCAUCCCCAACCGCCGAAACUUUCCAACCCCCACCAUGCAGCAGGAGCUCCUAUCCGGUAUUAGCCCCAGUUUCCUGAAGUUAUCCCAAAGUCAAGGGCAGGUUACUCACGUGUUACUCACCCGUUCGCCACUCGAGCACCCCACAAAAGCAGGGCCUUUCCGUUCGACUUGCAUGUGUUAAGCACGCCGCCAGCGUUCGUCCUGAGCCAGGAUCAAACUACU
rnacentral:rRNA from 1 species